UACAGAGGGGGCAAGCGUUAUUCGGAAUUAUUGGGCGUAAAGGGCGCGUAGGCGGCCAUUCAAGUGACGGGUGAAAGCCCUCGGCUUAACCGAGGAACUGCCUGUCAGACUGGAUGGCUUGAGACCGGGAGAGGUGAGUGGAAUUCCCAGUAUAGCGGUGAAAUGCGUAGAUACUGGGAGGAACACCAGUGGCGAAGGCGGCUCACUGGACCGGAACUGACGCUGAGGCGCGAAAGCGUGGGGAGCAAACAGG
rnacentral:rRNA from 1 species